rnacentral:rRNA from 1 species
GACGAACGCUGGCGGCGUGCUUAACACAUGCAAGUCGAGCGGUAAGGCCCUUCGGGGUACACGAGCGGCGAACGGGUGAGUAACACGUGGGUGAUCUGCCUCGCACUUCGGGAUAAGCCUGGGAAACUGGGUCUAAUACCGGAUAUGACUACUGGUUGCAUGACUGGUGGUGGAAAGAUUUAUCGGUGCGAGAUGGGCCCGCGGCCUAUCAGCUUGUUGGUGGGGUAAUGGCCUACCAAGGCGACGACGGGUAGCCGGCCUGAGAGGGCGACCGGCCACACUGGGACUGAGACACGGCCCAGACUCCUACGGGAGGCAGCAGUGGGGAAUAUUGCACAAUGGGCGAAAGCCUGAUGCAGCGACGCCGCGUGAGGGAUGACGGCCUUCGGGUUGUAAACCUCUUUCGACAGGGACGAAGCGCAAGUGACGGUACCUGUAGAAGAAGCACCGGCCAACUACGUG